UGGUACAUAGCAAUCUAGGAGAUCGCGUUCGGCUGUUAACCGAAAUUAAGGUUGGUUCGAAUCCAACUGUACCAGCCA
rnacentral:tRNA from 1 species